rnacentral:other from 1 species
UUUUCCCUGGCCUGUUAGUGAUUGUCAGUGUUGUUGAGCCAACUCUCAAAAAAAGGGUAACUCCGCUGUUUUUGAAUGGAAAAUCGCUUGCGAAUUCCCUGCUGGAAAUAUGAGUCUGCCCACCUAUACUAUAGGUUUAACGUUCCUGGUAACACGGCAGGGUGGGGAAUUU